ensembl:lncRNA
CGGGUGUCUCCUUGCAGUGCGCCGGGCCGGCGAGUUUCGCCCUGGGGAGAGGCACCCCCGCGGAGCCCGGGGAGGGCGGCGCGGAGCUCCGGGCGCCGGGGUCCCGGCCGGGGGGACCGAGCGGUGGGCCAGGUCCGGGCGGAGGCUCCAGCACCCUCGGCUCGCGGGGGCGGGGAGAAGGGAGGGGAAGGAGCGGCGGUGGGAGGCUCCGACCCCGGGGCAGAGGCGCCUAGCAGGAAACUUCGUAGUGAAAUCGAAAGAUUCUAAAAAGGAAAAACACAAGCCCUACCAGUCUCCUGCCACCCGCGUCUCUCCCGCGGCGCGCAGACUCGGCGCUCCGGGAUCCUUGCUGUGCGCAGCGCCCCCCAAGUCUGCGGGCCGGGGGCACCAGGGCAGAUGCCUCGGUUUGGGCCCUGCGCCCAGAGAGAAAAUCCCGGCAGCUGCGAGGAGUCCGCCCCCCCACACCCCCGCACAUGGCUGUCCCUGCGUCCCACCGAGCACCGCGUCCUGGCCUGGGCCCGGUGCAAGGCGGACAGGUCUGUGCUCAGAGCCCAGAGCACCUUGGGGGGCGACUCUGGCACCUUCAGUAACCUCCUACCUCUUCCCCACCCCAACACAAAAGUCAAGUCUGAGGGGGAUGCUGACUUCGUCUCUGGAGACGAGGCGAUCCUGGGUCUGCACAGGUUUGGAGAGGCACCACCGGGGGCACUCCAGCCCCCUUCCCUCGGAGCCGCUUGAGGGUGCUUUGUGGUGGACUAGAGGCUUUUUGAUGAACUCUGUUCCCAAGUCCCACGGCGGCUCUGGGGCCGCGACUCCGAGAGCUUGGGGCCCCGGAGGGCACUUGGGCACCGGGCCAGCGCCCGCCAGGCGGACUGCGAGUGCCGGGGUCUGGAGCGCAGCAGGGAGCCGUGGGCAGCGCCCCGACGCCUAAGCAGAGCUCCUCAGGAUCUCUUUAAACUUUCCGCUGCCUUUCGAAUCCCAGCAGGCCCUCGGCCCUUGUGAAGGCAGGAAAAACAUGACUUGCUGCAAAGCCGAGACUCAAAAGUCCAAAAGUCGGAAAUCCAAGAUGGACACAGUGGUUCCAUGAUGCCAGUGGAGAAAUGGACUCGUUGUCUCUUUCAACCCAGCCAUCCUUGGCAAGGUCUUGUCACCUGGGGAGUCACAGCAUGGCCGCUUUGCUUCCCGCAGCACGACUGUGUCUGAUUCAGGAAUAAAUGGAAAAGCAAAAGAGACAAUGUGUGUACCAAUUACGUCUGCUCUCUCAUCCCCCUGCGCAAACAUCCGCUUAUUUUAAGGAGCUUUCUUGGAAGUCUCAGCCAAAAACUUCGUCUUUUUUCUCAGUGGCCAGAACUAGGUCGGAUGACAACUUCUAUCAAGGAAUUCAGCAGGAUUUGUUUAACUUUUCCCCCAAACUGGCGUUCUGUAGACAGGAGUAAGAGAAUAGACAUUGAGAAGAAACUAGCAGGCCUUCACAGCUGGCAAACGAUAAUGACGGUGAUCAUCAUAAUUCCCAUUUAUUGAUCAUGUGCUGUAUGCCAGGCUUGUGAGCUUUGCACAUUUCAUCUUGUUUAGUCUUCGCUGCAAUUCCGAGAGUUAACACCCAUUUAAAGAUGAGGAAAUUGGGACUUAUGAAGGUGGAGUGACAUGUUGAAGGUCGUACAGUGGUGGAACAAGAACUUGAGUUCAGAUCUAUCCAACUCCCAGGGUUGCCUGGUACUGUCCUGGUUCUAGCACUGCUAGGCUCGUGUCCCGGGACACAAGUCAGUCCUGGAACAGUGGGGUCACCUGCUGAAGCUCAAACAGUACUAGGGCAUUAGUAGAAGUUCAGUUAAACUUUGUUGAAUGGUUAAUUUAAUAAAUAUUGUUUAUUGUUUUUCAUAAAUGUUAAAGACUUGCAAUAUAUCAAGAAUACAAUCCUUUAUAUUAUAUAUUUUUUUCUUUUGCCUUGUAGUUUUUAUGACUCCUUUUGAUACAGAUAUUUUAAAGUUUGUGUCAAAUCUAUCUGUUUGCUUUUAUGGUUUCUUCCUUUGCUUUUAUGUUUAAAUAUUCUUCCCUAUCCUACCAAGCAAAAAUUAUAUCUUCUUCUGGUUCUUUUAUAGUUUGCUUUGUAAUUCAAAGUAAAAUGAAGAUAUGCAGGAAUGGGAAAGGCUUUCAUUCACAUGUUUCAUUUCCCAGGUUUGGGUGAGUGUUUCAGAACUGUAAGCUUAUAGGUUUGAAAUGUUCAUCUCAGGAACUGAUUUAAAAUCCAUAACUUAAGGGAAUGAAAACUCUUUCCAGUGCGUUCCCAAUGUGCAGCGCACAUGUAUCUGAUCUGCAAUCAGCAAUCAUGUCAAAAUGUGUCAGCUCAUUUCAUAUUCUUUUUAACUAUCCUUUGAUUAAGGGAGCACUGUAUCAACUGAUGUGAGCCUGCAGUCAAACCUACCUUCAAAUUAUUAGCACCUGGUAAGAAAUGUCCUUCCCAUUCUAAACACCAGUUCAUCAUGUCUUAUUUGUAAUUCACUUGAUGAUUUUGAUAUAUCAUUAUAAAUACUAUAUGUGACUAAGUCUUCACACUGAAGCUUUGUUCUUGUAAAUAUGGCAGAAAAUGUGAAUUGCGUACUCUGUCCCUGAUACAGAUGCGUGGAUCAAGAUCAAGCAGGUGUGCUAUUAGGUUGAGAUGAUAAAUCACCAGCCCGAAAUGUCUUUAUGUUGGGAAACUAGAUGUCAUUAAUGUUCAUCUUGCACCAUUGGCUCUAACUCCGUUUUCUAAACAAUGGAAGGGAAAAAUAUUUGUGAAUUCGCUGUUACUGACAAGUAAUUAUUAGAAAUUAUUUUAUUAGAAAACAAAAUUAAUGUUCUAGUCCAGGCAUGGGUAAACUUUUUGUAAAGAGCCAGAUGGUAGAUAUUUUAGGUUUUGCUGGCCAUAAGAUCUCUAUUGCAACUACUCAACCCUGCCUCUGCAGAAGUCACAAACAGUGAUAAACCAAUGGGCGCGGCUGUGUUCCAAUCAAGCUUUAUUUAUGAAAGCAAUUGAUCUGCGUGAUUUGGCUCAUGGCCUGUAGUUUCCUAACUGCAAGAAUUCAUUCUUCACAAGUGAGUUUUCUUAUUCGAAAGGUGGGAAUCAGUUGCUAUCCUGGAAAACAUUAAACAAGUACUCCUAUCAUUGGUACUUUAAGACUUCAACUUCAAUGUCUUAAGCUUAAGUUGGAAAGCCCUUUGAAAAUUCUUUGAAGAGAAGGAUCAAGAUGUAAACAUGGAAUUGUUUGUUAGGAUAGGUUAUAUCAAUCUCAAACAAAAGGUUAGUGUCUCAAAGCUUCUUUUAUAUUAGUGGCUCAUAAGUUUCUUCCUAAACAGAUAUUUCUAUCUUCUGCCAGAGAGCUGGACAUACGUCUUAAUUCCAGUGGGGUCCAGGCUUAGAGCAAGGGCAGCAUAUGGGUACCAUACAUUUGUUAGAGUUCAUCUCUAUGUAAUCACAAAAAUUAAAUACCUCCAGAGCUCUAAAUUACAAAUUUGGACGAUCUGCUUUAAGGCACAGAAUUUCCACAUGAUAAAGGCAGCAAAUGCUAGAUUCAUCCUCAGUAGCAUUGCUUCAUGCUUUAGUAAAUCAGGGUGGCUGACUGAAACUUUUGCUUCUGUUUUGAUAAAUUCUCUCAUGGUGCAGACUAUAACCUGUUUGUCAAUCCCUGAUUGGACGCCAUUAAUCACAUUUCAGAGCUAAAUAUAAUUUAGGAGUGGUAGCUUAUAGAUAUAUAUAUGUCAAAAUAUAUGUAUAUUUUCAGGGGAUAAGUAAUAUAUAGAGUUUUUUUUUAUAUCCAUCUCUUACGGACUACCCAAUAGCCGUGAAUAUUUGUUCUUGCAAAAUUUGAAUUCCCUGAUAGUGCUUAAAGAAGGUUGGAUUUCAUACUUUGGAAAACUUCCCAAUCUGUGAUGGGGCUUUUGUUGUUGUUGUUCUUGUGUUCUGUUUGUUUUUAUACUCUUGGUAGGCACUUUGUUAUUCUUUGGUUGUUGGCUUAUUUUUGGAGACAACCCCAAAGAAACUGGAGAUAACAUAUAACGAAUACGGUGGAUGUUCAAGUCAGGGAUGGUGUCUUUGUUCAAAAAUAAGGUGUCAUGUUAAAAUAACAAGACUGAUUUUUUGUUAAGUCUUAUAAUGUAGCUUUAAAGGAUUUUUCAAAUGUUUUAAGCAGUGGAAGUAUUGAAAUAUAUAUUACCUCCUAAGAUUCACUUUUGAAGGACAACUUUUAUUUGGUCAUAGAAGCUAAGAUUUGUUUUAAAAGUCUCAUUACUCUAUACUCAUACCUUGUAAAAAUAUGUCUCCUAUUGUCCCUUAGAAAGAUAAUUUGGACAAAUAUAGGAAACUGUUAACAGGUUUGUAAUUUGCGUCUGUUUCAAGAAAUCUAUGGAUGCUUUGCUGCUAAUUUCCCAAACUCUCACCAGCCCAACAUGAUGAGAUUUGCCAAUGGGAGUUUUCCUCUUGAGUAUCUGUAACUUCUACUGUCCUUUGUGAGUGGUAUCCUGAAGGUGACCAGAAGAAGGAGCAAGAAAAGUAAUUCUUGAUUCCUCUCAUGAUGAAACCAAGUGUUGGAAGAGAGCAAGCUGGGGACCCCAAGGGAGAAAAGAGGCGUAGUCAGGAAAGAGAGAGGAGGUAUUCAAAGAACCAAUAUGAGGGAUUAUUUUAAUCUGAAGUAGAUUUAAUUUGAGGAAGAUGAAGUCUGUAUCAACAAAGAAAUAGCAAUGAUGAGUAAAUUUGAACUGAGACUUUGGACCACGUCUUUCUUUGAUUUGUUUCUCUCUCUUAAAAUGCAUAUGUGCCAUCUCCAUCCCCCCCAAAUACAAAACUUUAUUGUUAAUUUUCUAAUUGCAAAAGAAAUAUCUACUUAAUGAAGAACACUUUGAAAACAAAGAAGUAAAAUGAUAAAAUUACUCAUCAUUGAUCACAUGGAGAUAUUGAUGGUAAAACUUAAAUGUGUGUGUUCCCCAGUUAUCUCUUUUUUCCUCCCCUUCUCUUUUCUCCUCCCCUUCUCUUUGAUCCUUUCUUUUAAAAUUUCUAUUAAUUUCUUGUUUUUACAAAAAGAGGAUCUAUAGCAUCAAAUAUGAUGUUUCAUAAAUUUCCUUGUUAUAUAGCAAUAUUUCUAAAUAUCUGACUAUAUCUCUUUGUCAAUGUGCAUUUUCAACUAGCUCUAUUUUUCCAGUUGUAAAAGCAAUACAUAUUUACUGAAAAAUGAUUUAGAAAUUAUAUAAGAACAAAGGUAAAAAUAAAUUUUAAUACUACUGCCAAAA